GAUAAAUCAUCUCUGUUUCAAAAAUAACCCCUCUUGAAGUUGACAAGAACAGGAAGGGAUGAAGUGUGCCAGGUAAUCUAAUAGGUGCUUCCAUAUACAUUUUCUCAUUUAUGCACCAGAACAAUGCUUCUAAGUAUCUGUUAUUCUCCAUUUUUACAAUUUAUAAAUUGCCCAAGGUAAUGUCAAAUCCAGCCCUGCCUCCUCGGGUAAUCUUUCUCCUGUGUCUGGCAGAAAUUCACACAUUUAACACCAUAGGUAGGUUUCCUCUGUUUUCCAUUUUUAUUUUUAAGGUUGGAAUUUGGGUUCUUUGAAACUCAAAUUUCUUGAGUCAUUUUAUAGGUUUUUGCUGCCUAGCUGGCCAAUUAAAAUAGAGGACUAAGAAAUGUUUCUUCUUUCUUCAUAGAAACAGUUUCGCUUGCCUCAAUUAUAUGCAGAGGUAUAUUGUCCUUCACGUUGCUCAGGUAGACCCAGUGUAAGUUACAGCUAGGAAGUUAGAAAAACAGCAGCACUAUUUUCUCUCACCUUUAUUAGUAAAAUUUGCCAAAGUUAACUCAUAUCAUUUUUAAUUUCAAGUACAUAUUUUUGAAGUAAAUCAAUUGUAUGUAUUAACUAUUCAACUAUCUCUUGGUCAUUCCAUUAUAAUAACCCUAUUUUAAUUUUUCUUUCUUUUUUAAUGCACCCAAAAGUCUUUUAUUUACUUUUUUAACUACAGCCACACUUUGAGCAGGUAUGGAACACAAUCAUUGAUUAAUCUAAUAUAUACAAUAGGGAGAACCGUAACUACAGAUUUACAGAUUGUGGAGCUGCAGCAGUUUUUCAGUAACAUGUUGGAGGAACACCAGAAGAUCAGAGUUCAUGCCAACUUACAGACAAUAAAGAAUGAAAAUCUGAAAAACAAGAAGCUAAGUGCCAGGAUGGCUGCAUGGCUAAGGAGAAACACAUAGCUUGUGGCUAUCUUUCAGCACUCCUCUUGCAUAUUAUAAUGUAGUUUGUUCACAGUUUUGUCUUCCAAUACUUUGUGCGUCUGGAAAACCACACAUUUUGUUUGUAUUUCAGUCACAUUUAUUACUCAGAGUGCCAUUCUUCUCAUAUUGUCAUGUUUGGCCCUGAGGUUGGGUGAUUGCCGACAAUUUUGCCAAUGCUGCUGUAUUUCUGGGAAAGAUGUCACUUCAUGUUGGGUUAUAAUCCCAUGGAAUUUACUUUAAAUGUCGUAUAAAAACAAAUUCACCUAAGAAAGUCUUGCUUAUUUUGUUGUGAAGGCCAGUGGAAUAUAAAAUCAAUGGCAUUAAUGAGGAGCACAUUGUUUGCUGAGGAAAAUAACAGUUUUUCCAGGCCCUAGGGUUUAUUUAGUUCAACAUUGAAGAUUGAAAAGACUAAGGAGAAGAUAACAUGACAAUAUAAAAAGACAGAAACUCAAAAAGUAUAUUCACUAGAAGACAGAAGAGUCAAAGAAAAGCAAGUUGAAAAAGAAAGAGGAGACAAUUUAACGAGCCCUAAAGGCAAGAAGUGUGUCUUCUCCUGCGCAUUUCUCUCUCCCACAGUACAUCCUGCAUUGAACCAUGCGUUGCUGGUUACUACACUUUAUGGUGUCACAAAAAGACAAAUGAUUGUAGGAUCCAUGGAAGUGCACUUAGGCUUGCUGUGGUGGAGACCAUAGUGGAGAUGAAGGCUCUGCUCUGAAGCUCUUGAUUGUGUAUUCACCGGUGGGAUGGACACCCUUUCAGCCUAAGCGUACGAGUGAAAACAAUGAUAUCAAAAGACAAUAGCAAGUAUGGGCUACUAUUUAGGGCAAAAGGAAUCUUGAAAUGAAAGAAACAGAACUAAAAGGGUAACUGGAGCAUAAUCCUUACAGUUUUGCACUCAGGGGAUUAAGUUUGAAACAUAGCAUCUUUUGGCCAAAUUGAACCUACUUGUAAUGUGGACCAACUUACUUUACACGUUUUCAUCAGUGCCAAUGUAUGGAAUUAGCUUAGUUUUCUCAUGCUUGAUUAAAACAAGACAACUAAAGCUAAUCAUUCCUCUUCUAGACUUUGUGUAUAUGAUUUAAUCUUUUAUUUUAUUUUUAUUUUUGUAGAAUGGGGGUAAAACUACAAAUCUCCACCUCAGGGUGAUAUUUUUAAAGAUUAAGGAGUAUGAUAUCAAUGAACAGUCUUUAAAGUUGUUACAUAAGCUCAAAGCAAUGUGAUCUAAGACUUUUUUCCUAUUUCUUGUGUAAGUUAAGGCAGCCAUAAAUGAAAAUACAAAACAAACGUUUGCUUUUAUAUUUGCUUCACAAGAGGAUUCUCUCUGAGUGUCAGGGGAGGCUGUGGGACUUCACCAUGUGGACAAACGAAAGCACAGGCUACUCAGACUUGGCCACAGGUCAUAGGUCAGAGAAUUUUUUCUUCAAAUGUAGAAAUGUAAAUUUUCAGCAAUAAAAUAUCUGCAUGCCUUC
rnacentral:sRNA from 1 species